ensembl:lncRNA
AUGCUUCCGAAAAACGGUCUCAAGGGUGUAAAGACCGAGGUUGCCGAGGAUGCCUUUACACGCACGCCACACCGAGGAGUAAAGAGGCCGCAGAGGAACCAUGUAGCACGCAAUGGGAAGACCGAUGGGGUAGAAGUAGAAAGACCUCACACGAGAGGCAAGUAUGCUCAAAGCGGUCCCAACACCAGAAGUAGGUCCAGAUCUUCUGAACUCAAACAAGUUUCUGGUAGAUUAAAUUUACUUUGUAGCACUUGUUGGAAUCCAGCUGGGCAUUUGUCUAAAGCACAGACCACAAUAAAAGUGAAAAAGGAGUCGGAGCAGAAAGUAAACCGUCGCCGUAAAGGCUCGGCGCCGCGUGCUGCUUGCCCAAGGCCCCGGCGAGGCGCGAGUGCACACGUACACACUGAGAGAGGCGCCCGGGCUCUGUCUUCCUCCGAGGGGUCACCGAAAACGUACCGCUUGAAAUUAGAUCUCACCAAAACGUCUAGUAUCGGUGGCGAUGUGGACGACCUAGUUAUAGACAGUAUUGGUCGCAAAGUAAAGCCGGAACGAUCUGGGAGGUUCAGAUCGCUGAGGGCCGCCUGGUGUCAGCCACAGGUCGCAACGGCAGAUCCCGCCCGAGUCCUUAAAAGAAAACAAAUACAUCUCACUGGAAUCCCAAAUAUCAAUGGCCAUGGCAGCAUGAUUAACAGUGAGUUGAUAGAUAUGGACACUAGAGGCCACAGAGAAGUGAUAGAGAAACCGCCCAACUCCCCAGCUGGCAGUCCGAGGCAUGGUCUAGGGGAGAAUAUGGCAAUUCAAGAGGAAACUACUGACCCCUCGGACAGCGAACCAGAAGACGCAGGAUUUUCAUGCCAAAGAGCAAGAGUCCAUUUGAAGGAAAUGUACUGGUCGUGUGCACGCACAUACAUGCCCUGGCCCUUCUCUAACGGGGGUCCAAAGAUUUCCAUUCCUCUCUCAAGUCCCAGUGUUAGUGAAAGCGCAACAACCUCCACGCUAUUGAUUUCUGAACCUGAGGAUGGAGGCCUUCUCCCAGCGAUGCCUUGUUUCUUGCCACUUGCAUUUGCUAACCCAAACAAGGAUGCCCCGUCGCCAAACUCCUUAGUUUCCUCGCACGGACAUGAGGUCCGUGCUGCUGACGAUUCACCAUGGCACGAUGAAGAAAAGGACAUGGAUUCAUCAAGUUCUACUCAUUCCUCCACGCUUUCACAGAAUUAUGAAACUUUUUCUCCAUGUAACUUCAAUAUUAUGACUUCAGAAAAACAAGACACUAGAGAGGUCUUGUUGCACAGUGUUCCAGUGGAACCGUGGUCAAAGAUUUACAUGGAUCCUUCUCUCCCUCGGCCACUGCUCUCUCCUCUCUCCUCACCGACCAAGCCGUCCUACACAAGACUCCUGCCAAACCAGAGGAGCCAAGAAACCAAAGUUUCUGUUGCGUCCUCUUUGGAUUUUAGGACAGACGUUCUUGAUGAGAUCACGGCCUACGAGAACGAUAUACUACUCGUUAAAGUGGUCCAGGAUGACCCAGAUCUGUUUGAUAACCUGCCUAAGCAGAGCAUGUUAAAACCGGGCCCUGCACUUCAAGGGUCACCUAAAAUCCCACCCGGGGGAUUCAUGUCUCGAGCUGGCAGAGCUUUGUUUGAGGCCAAAAAAAGAGUUACUUCAGCACCAGUCCAGUUCUACGUGAGAUCUUUAUUUGCUGAUCCAAUUGAAGAAGAGAGCGAUAGCAGACCGUGGCGUGCCGAACGUUCCACUCCUUCCCCGACGGCAAGCAACAGCUGGCCCACAACCAACCCAGUUGUUGGACCCACAACCAACCCAGUUGUUGGACCCACAACCAACCCAGUUGUUGGACCCACAACCAACCCAGUUGUUGGACCCACAACCAACCCAGUUGUUGGACCCACCACCAACCCAGUUGUUGGACCCACCACCAACCCAGAUGUUGGACCCACCACCAACCCAGUUGUUGGACCCACCACCAACCCAGUUGUUGGACCCACCACCAACCCAGUUGUUGGACAGGUGUGUUCAAUGGACAUUUGACUCGAUGUUGUGUGUGUGUGUGUGUGUGUGUGUGUGUGUGUGUGUGUGUGUGUGUGUGUGUGUGUGUGUGUGUGUGUGUGUGUGUGUGUGUGUGUGUGUGUGUGUGUGUGUGUGUGUGUGUGUGUGUGUGUGUGUGUGUGUAUAGUUAAAGUUGACAUAUUAUACCACCAGGUGUGAGUGUGACUAGCCGUUACAAGCCGUUUUAAAAGUCUGCCUCUUCUGACAUCACAAGUGGGCAUGUCCACCUAGCUGUGUGCACGAUAGAUCAGUCUACCAGCCAACCCAGUGGACUGUAGCAAACGUUGCUGAUCUAUCCGUUAUACAUCUAGGUGGACACGCCCACCUAUGAUGUCAGAAGAGGCAGAUUUUCAAAACG